rnacentral:rRNA from 1 species
GUGGGGAAUCUUGCGCAAUGGGCGAAAGCCUGACGCAGCCAUGCCGCGUGAAUGAUGAAGGUCUUAGGAUUGUAAAAUUCUUUCACCGGGGACGAUAAUGACGGUACCCGGAGAAGAAGCUCCGGCUAACUUCGUGCCAGCAGCCGCGGUAAUACGAAGGGGGCUAGCGUUGCUCGGAAUUACUGGGCGUAAAGGGCGCGUAGGCGGACAGCUUAGUCAGAGGUGAAAGCCCAGGGCUCAACCUUGGAAUUGCCUUUGAUACUGGCUGUCUUGAGUUUGGGAGAGGUGAGUGGAACUCCGAGUGUAGAGGUGAAAUUCGUAGAUAUUCGGAAGAACACCAGUGGCGAAGGCGACUCACUGGCCCAAUACUGACGCUGAGGCGCGAAAGCGUGGGGAGCGAACAGGAUUAGAAACCCGGGUAGUCC